rnacentral:rRNA from 1 species
UAGGGAAUCUUCCGCAAUGGACGCAAGUCUGACGGAGCAACGCCGCGUGAGUGAAGAAGGAUUUCGGUUCGUAAAACUCUGUUGUUAGAGAAGAACAGCGCAUAGAGUAACUGUUAUGCGUGUGACGGUAUCUAACCAGAAAGCCACGGCUAACUACGUGCCAGCAGCCGCGGUAAUACGUAGGUGGCAAGCGUUGUCCGGAUUUAUUGGGCGUAAAGCGAGCGCAGGCGGUCAAUUAAGUCUGAUGUGAAAGCCCCCGGCUCAACCGGGGAGGGUCAUUGGAAACUGGUUGACUUGAGUGCAGAAGAGGUGAGUGGAAUUCCAUGUGUAGCGGUGAAAUGCGUAGAUAUAUGGAGGAACACCAGUGGCGAAGGCGACUCUCUGGUCUGUAACUGACGCUGAGGCUCGAAAGCGUGGGUAGCAAACAGG